rnacentral:lncRNA from 1 species
AGAAUGUAGGUGGGGGUCUGUGGUGGUGUAGAGAUGGUCUGUGUUGGUCUGUGGUGGUGUUGAGAUGGUAGGUGGUCGUGUAGAGAUGGUAGGUGGGGGUCUGUGGUGGUGUAGAGAUGGUCUGUGUUGGUCUGUGGUGGUGUUGAGAUGGUAGGUGGUCGUGUAGAGAUGGUAGGUGAUGGUCUGUGGUGGUGAAGGGAUGGUAGGUGGGGGUCUGUGGUGGUGUAGAGAUGGUAGGUGGUGGUCUGUGGGGGUGUAGAGAUGGUAGGUGAAGUGUCUGUGGUGUUGCAGAGAUGGUAGGUGGUGGUCUGUGGUGGUGUAGAGAUGGUAGGUGGUGGUCUGUGGUGGUGUAGAG